rnacentral:misc_RNA from 1 species
AUGUGAUGGAUGUGCUAGUCUUGACCUCUCAAUCCUCCCUUCAAUUGUAUUGUUGGGUGGGGGCCUGACGGCUCGAGGGGAAAGGAAAUAAAAGCCUGUUUGGGUGUGCACUCCGAUACAAACUUCCUUUCAUACCUUGUGCAUCUCUGCCUUCUUAACAAGGGAAGAAUGUUGAAUGAUAUUCUUCAUUGUUUAAGKAGGAUUUGUAUCACAACCUUAAAARAAUAUUCUGUUGGCUUAGAAAGCAAAAGUUAAUA